rnacentral:rRNA from 1 species
AUUGAACGCUGGCGGCAGGCCUAACACAUGCAAGUCGAGCGAGCGGCGGACGGGUGAGUAAUGUCUGGGAAACUGCCUGAUGGAGGGGGAUAACUACUGGAAACGGUAGCUAAUACCGCAUACCAUCAGAUGUGCCCAGAUGGGAUUAGCUAGUAGGUGGGGUAACGGCUCACCUAGGCGAAGAUCCCUAGCUGGUCUGAGAGGUUGAACAGACAACCUGGAAAGUAGAAAAGGUCCAGAGUCCGAAGGGAGGCAGCAGUGGGGAAUAGUGCACAAUGGGCGCAAGCCUGAUGCAGCAAUGCCGCGUGUGUGAAGAAGGCCUUCGGGUUGUAAAGCACUUUCAGCGGGGAGGCGUUACCCGCAGAAGAAGCACCGGCUAACUCCGUGCCAGCAGCCGCGGUAAUUC